rnacentral:rRNA from 1 species
GAUGAACGCUGGCGGCGUGCCUAACACAUGCAAGUCGAACGGUCCUUCGGGACAGUGGCGCACGGGUGAGUAACACGUAGCUAACCUGCCUUCGAGAGGGGGAUAACGCCCCGAAAGGGGUGCUAAUACCGCGUACGCUCGCGCGAUGUAGAGGCGCGCGAGGAAAGGCGCAAGCCGCUCGAAGAGGGGGCUGCGGCCCAUCAGGUAGUUGGUAGGGUAAUGGCCUACCAAGCCAACGACGGGUAGGGGGUCUGAGAGGAUGGUCCCCCACACUGGGACUGAGACACGGCCCAGACUCCUACGGGAGGCAGCAGUGAGGGAUCUUGCACAAUGGGGGAAACCCUGAUGCAGCGACGCCGCGUGGGCGAAGAAGGCCUUCGGGUCGUAAAGCCCUUUUCUGGGUGACGAGGAAGGACGGUAGCCCAGGAAGAAGUCUCGGCUAACUACGUG